AAAGUCCAUUGGGCUAUUUUCGAAUAGGCCAUACAAUAAUCCCCUGAGGAACAGUCCAACUACACCAAACCAAAAUGGACCCGGGUUUAAACCUAUCUAAACCAGUAGCUAACCGAUCUAUUCCAGAAACCCUAAUCUUCUUCAAUCAGAGAACCCGAUUUGGAACCGCCUUCCCACGAAGCAGCGGAUACUCGCCGGAACAGAACCACCGGCGAGCCAGGAAGACGGGAGUCGUACGGAGAAGGCGACACAGGACCAUCACCAACCCGCCACCGUAGAGUUGUGAAGAAACCGAUCAAGUAAUCCGGAAGCCAUGGCUCAGUCGUGAUAGAGAUAAAGCAGUAGGGAGAUAGAGAUAAGAAUGACGACUCUUGGAGAAGCUUAUUUUCUCAAAGAAGAAUACGUCACCGGCGACGUUGACCACUGUGGAAUCGCCGCCAGAAGAUCUAAUACCGGUAGAUGGAGAGCCGCAUGGGGAAACAAAAUAGAUACAUUAAGGAUGAUGAAAGAUGUCAAAGGUUCAAUGGAACUAUCAGUGGAAACUUCUUGAUGUCUACCCAUGAGAGGACAGUUUUAGCCUCUAAGCUUUGUUUUUUCAUGAGAGCAUAAAUGUGCAACGGUAAAAUUGAUGUGCAAAAUAAAAGAAGUCAAAGCAGAACAAAUUUUGGAAGUAACCAAAGAAAGAGAAGAUUUGAACAAGGAGAUUACGAGGCGGCCGGAACGAAAGGGAAACAACGAUCAAUGAGAUGGAGGGAUAGGGAUGGUAAAGCCGAAACUAUAGGGAAUGUGACUAAAACUCGAGCUUGAACUGGCUGUUAUGGUUGAAGAAAUGCAAGAGACUACUUUUCCCUGAGAAAAAAAUGAAAGUCAAAGAAGCAUCUAAAGCAAAACUGCAAGUAACACAUUACAUUCUGAUAUAAGCAUCUAAUUCAAGUAUUUGUUUCCUUCAGAUAGGUACAUUUUGAAAUGCUUAUGUUCGAAUCAAGGAGGUGAAAGAAAUUAGUGAUCAAAAUACUAGGUUCCAAGAUCAGAAUGGGGCUGAUGUUCAUAGAGAUGCUGCGAUUGUGUGGGUGGAGUUGGACGAAACUUUUAUAAUCUAUUCUCUGUCAUGGGUUUUAUAAUCUAUUCUCUAGUAGCCAUCAUUCUAAA